rnacentral:rRNA from 1 species
UACGUAGGUGGCGAGCGUUGUCCGGAUUUACUGGGCGUAAAGAGCUCGUAGGCGGCUUGUCGCGUCGUCCGUGAAAACUUGGGGCUCAACCCCAAGCUUGCGGUCGAUACGGGCAGGCUAGAGUUCGGUAGGGGAGACUGGAAUUCCUGGUGUAGCGGUGAAAUGCGCAGAUAUCAGGAGGAACACCGGUGGCGAAGGCGGGUCUCUGGGCCGAUACUGACGCUGAGGAGCGAAAGCGUGGGGAGCGAACAGG